rnacentral:rRNA from 1 species
GAUGAACGCUGGCGGCGUGCUUAACACAUGCAAGUCGAACGGAAAGGCUCCUGCUUGCAGGGGUACUCGAGUGGCGAACGGGUGAGUAACACGUGGGUGAUCUGCCCUGCACUUCGGGAUAAGCCUGGGAAACUGGGUCUAAUACCGGAUAGGACCACAUUUUGGAUGGUGUGGUGGAAAGUUUUUCGGUGUGGGAUGAGCUCGCGGCCUAUCAGCUUGUUGGUGGGGUAAUGGCCUACCAAGGCGUCGACGGGUAGCCGGCCUGAGAGGGUGUACGGCCACAUUGGGACUGAGAUACGGCCCAGACUCCUACGGGGGGCAGCAGUGGGGAAUAUUGCACAAUGGGCGCAAGCCUGAUGCAGCGACGCCGCGUGGGGGAUGACGGCCUUCGGGUUGUAAACUCCUUUCGCUAGGGACGAAGCGCAAGUGACGGUACCUGGAGAAGAAGCACCGGCUAACUACGUG